CAGCCCAAACGUCACCUUGUUUUAUGCAUGGCAGCCGCAACAAGUUUAUACGGGCCACAAGAAAUGGAUUACUGGUAUAUCUUAGGAAUCGAUAGUUUUUACAAGCCCAGCGCUGCAAAAAGUGGCUGUGAUUCAGACUACUGUUGGUUGCAUCGAAUCCACAGGUUCAAGUAUGCCACGUGGUGCGCCUAUGUUUAGAGCAUCUUAAAGAUGAAGUCAGUAUGCGGUACUUCCACAGUCUCCGUAAAAAAUUCUGGUCGAUGGUACUACCAGACGUGAAGGAGAAGUCGUCUACUAAUAAGGUUCCCGUUAUUGACGUCACAUGGUUAGGUUACUUUAAGGUGUUGGGGAUGGGUACUGUUUCUGCAUCAUAGCCGAUUGUUAUUAAGGCGAAACUGACAUCAAAGAGUGCUGAGAAGAAGACAAAGGCAGCUGGUUGUUCCAGUAUGCUCACUGCUUAGGUUUGUUAUUUCGAUUUCAUUUGCAGAAAACUAUGGUUUGCUGAAUACUAUUCACAUUGGAUUUAAGUUUUGUUUUGAAAACAUUUAAUUGUGAUCCAUUAAAACUGGUUGUGGUUCAAAUCAGCCAUUGUUAAUACAUGUCGAGAUGUUAAGUCAGGUUUUCAUACUAUAAUGGCAUAUUGGCAGACAUAAACUUUCACUUACCAAUAUG